CCCAUUCUACCCCUCAAAAAAAAAACAAUUUUCCAAUUCCCACUACUUUCUUCUACUUCCCUCUUCGUUGUUUUUCAAUUUUUCACCUUCCCUCCCUUUCCCAUAGCCCUGAUUUGAUAUCCAAACUGAUCCAUUUACAGCAGUUGAGGAGAAAACAGUAGCCGCCACUAAGGGAUUUUAGUCGACCCGACCACCAUCGCUGCACCCCAAUGACCGUCGACCACCCGUCCUUUCCUUUAAUCUAUUGGUAUCCAAGUUGUUUGCAGAAUGGGAGAUGAAUGAGCCUGGGGCUAACCUAAAUUCAGCAUGUUGGUUCAAUCGAGACUCUUAGUUUUACCCGGUCAUUUUCUUUAUACGACCCACAAUUUGCAGGAAAUGUUUGAAGGUUUAGCAAGGCAGCUGACUUUAGGUUAACUUGGGCAAUAUAUUAAAGAUAUACACAGGGAGCAACUCAAGAUUACACUCUGGAAUGGUAUUAUGCCGAUCUGGUAAGGUGGACUCUUCUUUGGUGACUCGUCUUCCUCAUUGUCAGAGCAUGGUUGAAUUAAUGGGGGCACAAGUUUCGAAACUGCUGAUUGCGACCAAGGUGGCUUUUUUACCGAACAAGAUAUUAAGAGCCUACCAUGUUUACAGGUGAUGGUAAUUCCGAUAACGAAGAGAUUAAAGUGAUGUCAAAUGAAGUUGAGUAUAGUCAGUUGGCUGAUGUAGCGACAAUCUGGGAACUAUGAAGUGGAAGUAUGACUACUAAGAAAACGUUAACACGAUGAUUAUUUAACUCGCAUGAAGAUUGUGAAAGAGAUUCAUGAAUACAGUGAAGUUUUGAGUUUUUAUUCAUACACUUAUUAGUUUAUUUGGGUUAUAUGUUUGAUCAUUAGACUUAGAUCGACACUUAUUAGAUAUUUGGAAUGCUUGGAAGAUUGAUUGAACUUUUAAUUGAAGUGAUUAUUUUAUGA